rnacentral:tRNA from 1 species
GGCCUGAUGGUCUAGUAGUAUGAUUCCUUGUUAGGGUGCUCCAACCGUUUCGAGGAGGUCCCGGGUUCAAUUCCCGGUCAGGCCC